GAAAGUUCCUCAUGAAAAAAUAGGAGUCAGUAACAGGAAAACAAGAUCUACAUGAUCUGAGAACGAUGGAGAAAGAGAUAACCGCCUGUUUAACGGUCAUUUAUUGUGUUGUUGUUGCUUGUAGCUCCAAAUUGUCAGGACUCAGCUAGCAGGGCCGUGCAGCCUGCUGCUGGCUCUGCUGCCUAAGACUUUUUCCACAGGUGUUCGGGGUUGACUGGUGGGCGGAGCCCACACCUGCGGUCAGUUGAGCAGCAUCGGGUGGCACUACUUUAACACCACACAGACGGCAAGAGGACGCCAGAUUAUUAUCAUUUGUGGUACCUCCACGUGUCAGUCCACUCCCUCUUGUGACCCAGUGAAGUCUUGUGGCAGUAGUUCCACGCAUCGUCAUUCUCCGUUUGGUGUUGGUCUCUCCUGCUAAUCUCCUGGUUCCUCCUGAGUCGGUUCCCUUCCUCUGGACCCGAACCACCUCCCGAAGGUCAUCUGGUUCCUCUCGCCGUCCUGGUCUUCUGGAUUUCCCGGUGCUGCUCGGACCCGGACCCACCUUCGACCCGCUGGUCUCUCGGACACCUGUGGCCACCAUCACACGGCUGGCGCUGAGUCCCCACUGCUUCCUCCCCGGACGGCUCUCCAUCCGCUGAGUGCGAUCGACCCGGUUUCCUGAUCCCUGACUGCUGCCUGACGCUGCCUCCGCUGAGGCAGAAUUCCCCCGUUUCCUGACCUCUGGAUACCGUGGCUGAUGGCUCUU